rnacentral:lncRNA from 1 species
CAUUCAUGCCACGCAUGUCAAAGGAGGAUGUGAAAAGAAUAUCAAAUGCCUGCACAAAGGAAAUGGAUGAAUAUAUGAAAGCCACAAAAUGAGGAAAGGCAUACAAACACGAAAAGAAAGAAAUGAUAGAAAGGCAAGACAAACAUGAGCAUACUUCUUCUGAAUCAAUUAACAUUCAAUUGCUAUCAAGUGAUUCAACUAAGACUCUGCCAAAACCAGGGUCUUGG